AGAGUUUGAUCAUGGCUCAGGAUGAACGCUGGCGGUAUGCUUUACACAUGCAAGCCGUACGAGAGUUUUUAACUCAAGUGGCGGACGGGUGAGUAACACGUAAGAAUUUACCUUUAGGAGGGGACAACAACUGGAAACGGUUGCUAAUACCCCAUAUGCUUUCGAGUGAAAUGGAUUUAUUUCCGCCUAAAGAGAAGCUUGCGUCUGAUUAGCUUGUUGGUGAGGUAAUGGCUUACCAAGGCGACGAUCAGUAUCUGGUUUGAGAGGACGAUCAGACACACUGGAACUGAGACACGGUCCAGACUCUACGGGAGGCAGCAGUGGGGAAUUUUCCGCAAUGGCGAAAGCUGACGGAGCAAUACCGCGUGAGGGAUGACGGCCUAUGGGUUGUAAACCUCUUUUUUCAGGGAGGAAUCAAUGACGUGUACCUGAAGAAUAAGCA
rnacentral:rRNA from 1 species